rnacentral:rRNA from 1 species
CCUACGGGAGGCAGCAGGGAGGAAUAUUGGUCAAUGGCCGGGAGGCUGAACCAGCCAAGUCGCGUGAGGGAAGACGGCCCUACGGGUUGUAAACCUCGUUUGUCAGGGAGCAAGGUGCAGGGCGGGACCGGCUGUGAGAGGACCUGAAGAAAAAGCAUCGGCUAACUCCGUGCCAGCAGCCGCGGUAAUACGGAGGAUGCGAGCGUUAUCCGGAUUUAUUGGGUUGAAAGGGUGCGCAGGCGGAGGCACAAGUCAGCGGUAAAAUCGCGGGGCUCAACCCCGCUCCGCCGUUGAAACUGUGUCCCUUGCUUGCGCGACGGGUAGGCGGAAUGCGUGUUGUAGCGG